GUAAGUUAAAACACAAGAAUGGGGACAAAUAGUUUAAGAUUCAGCCUAAAACAAUAUUGAGGUCUAAUCAGGCUGUCUUAUUUUGUAUAGGGACAGGUAACCAUGAAAAGGAAGGGAGAUAUUGCAGACUUUUUUUGUAAAGAGGCACAAAUCAGGCCCAGAUCAGGCCCAGGCAGACCCCACCCCUAAAACCAGCAGCCCUGGCAGCUCUCAACCGGGAGCUAGCCAGGCAAGUCAGUGUGAGCAUAGAGAAGGAUCCAGUCUACCACCACCAGACAUCAAUAAUGACUGGCCAGACCUGUGGAGUGCUAAACAAACAGAAGACUUCAAAUCCAAGAACCCCUGGUUGGGAUCCAAAAACAAAAAAUUGGGAUGUCUGGUCUGUAGCAGUGUGAACUCCAUUGGGAUCGACAAGGAGCAAGGACAAGGUGUAUCGCUCUCAAGAGAAUGGAUGAACUUUGAAAUUCAAGUGUCUGG